UGGAAAAGUAGUGUAAUUUCCUCUUACAUU
rnacentral:piRNA from 1 species